AGCGAACGCUGGCGGCAGGCUUAACACAUGCAAGUCGAGCGGGCACUUUCGGGUGUCCGCGGCGGACGGGUGAGUAACGCGUGGGAACGUGCCCUCUGGUUCGGAAUAACUCAGGGAAACUUGAGCUAAUACCGGAUACGCCCUUUUGGGGGAAGGCUUGCUGCCGGAGGAUCGGCCCGCGUCUGAUUAGCGAGGUGGUGAGGUAACGGCUCACCCAGGCGACGAUCAGUAGCUGGUCUGAGCGGAUGAUCAGCCACACUGGGACUGAGACACGGCCCAGACUCCUACGGGAGGCAGCAGUGGGGAAUAUUGGACAAUGGGCGCAAGCCUGAUCCAGCCAUGCCGCGUGAGUGAUGAAGGCCUUAGGGUUGUAAAGCUCUUUUAUCCGGGACGAUAAUGACGGUACCGGAGGAAUAAGCCCCGGCUAACUUCGUG
rnacentral:rRNA from 1 species